UACGUAGGGUGCAAGCGUUGUCCGGAAUUAUUGGGCGUAAAGAGCUCGUAGGCGGUCUGUCGCGUCGGAUGUGAAAACCCAGGGCUCAACCCUGGGCCUGCAUUCGAUACGGGCAGACUAGAGUUCGGUAGGGGAGACUGGAAUUCCUGGUGUAGCGGUGAAAUGCGCAGAUAUCAGGAGGAACACCCGUGGCGAAAGCGGCUCUCUGGGACGGUACUGACGCUGAGACGCGAAAGCGUGGGGAGCAAACAGG
rnacentral:rRNA from 1 species